UACAGAGGGUGCAAGCGUUAAUCGGAAUUACUGGGCGUAAAGCGUGCGUAGGUGGAUAUUUAAGUCGAAUGUGAAAGCCCCGGGCUUAACCUGGGAACUGCAUCCGAUACUGGAUAUCUAGAGUAUGGUAGAGGAAAGUGGAAUUCCCGGUGUAGCGGUGAAAUGCGUAGAUAUUCGGAAGAACACCAGUGGCGAAGGCGACUUACUGGACACAUAUUGACGCUGAGACACGAAAGCGUGGGUAGCAAACAGG
rnacentral:rRNA from 1 species